rnacentral:lncRNA from 1 species
UGCCAGUAUGUAUAAAAAUUGAAAGACUAGAUAAUAAUUGAAAAACUUAAAAGCGAUUAACAGGUAAGAGUACGAGCAACUAUCAUACUCUUUCAUCUCUUUUGGAUAAAGCUGGGCCAACAAAUGUCUGAGGUAGCUUGGCAAAGUUGUUAGUAACCAUAAUUAUGAUUCUUGGACGGUGAAUAAUUUAUUUCCAUGGGUAAACUACCCGAUAUGAAAUAAAUAAUUUGAAGAAGAAGAAAAACCAAAAAACUCGUUUGGCGGUGAAGAGGUGUGGAU